UACAGAGGUCUCGAGCGUUGUUCGGAUUCAUUGGGCGUAAAGGGUGCGUAGGCGGCGUGGCAAGUCUGAUGUGAAAUCCCGGGGCUCAACCCCGGAACUGCAUUGGAUACUGCCAUGCUAGAGUACUGGAGAGGAGAUUGGAAUUUACGGUGUAGCAGUGAAAUGCGUAGAUAUCGUAAGGAAGACCAGUGGCGAAGGCGAAUCUCUGGACAGUUACUGACGCUGAGGCACGAAAGCGUGGGGAUCAAACAGG
rnacentral:rRNA from 1 species